rnacentral:snoRNA from 1 species
GCUGAGGUCUAUCCCGACAGACCUUCAACUGUAAGGCCAUGUCGUUGGAAAUACCUCACAGAGUAAAUCUGUAGUUUCGCUUUACCCACAUGUUCACAACCAUGAGCCUUGUUGGGAUAUCACUGCAGAACAGAU